AUCUACAGCCAUGCCAUCCUGAACAAGCCCAAUGGCUGAUCUUGGAACCUAAGCAGGGUUGGGUCUGGUUAGUAUUUGAAUGGGAAACCACCUAGGAAGACCAUGUGCUGUAGGCA
rnacentral:rRNA from 1 species